CCUACGGGUGGCAGCAGUGGGGAAUAUUGGACAAUGGGGGGAACCCUGAUCCAGCGACGCCGCGUGAGUGAAGAAGUACUUCGGUAUGUAAAGCUCUAUCAGCAGGGAAGAAAAUGACGGUACCUGACUAAGAAGGCCCGGCUAACUACGUUCCAGCAGCCGCGGUAAUACGUAGGGGGCCAGCGUUAUCCGGAUUUACCGGGUGUUAAGGGAGCGUAGACGGUGCAGCAAGUCUGGUGUGAAAGGUCGGGGCCCAACCCCGGGACUGCAUUGGAAACUGUUGAACUGGAGUACAGGAGAGGUAGGCGGAAUUCCUGGUGUAGCGGUGAAAUGCGUAGAUAUUAGGAGGAACACCGGUGGCGAAGGCGGCUUGCUGGACUGUAACUGACGUUGAGGCUCGAAAGCGUGGGGAGCGAACAGGAUUAGAUACCCGAGUAGUC
rnacentral:rRNA from 1 species